rnacentral:pre_miRNA from 1 species
GGCCCAACUUUGAAAUAGAGUGGAUUAUGAGGAUCAUCUGACCCUUUUAAACUACACUACUUCGAGUUUGUGCCC